AGUGAACGCUGGCGGCGUGCUUAACACAUGCAAGUCGAACGAGAACGGAUUAUAGCUUGCUAUAAUUGUCAGCUAAGUGGCGCACGGGUGAGUAAUGUAUAGGUAAUAUGCCUCUUACUAGGGGAUAACAAAUGGAAACGUUUGCUAAUACCUUAUACUCCUUAUUAACAAAAGUUAAUAAGGGAAAGAUUUAUUGGUAAGAGAUUAGCCUGUAUUGUAUCAGUUAGUUGGUGGGGUAAUGGCUUACCAAGACUAUGACACAUAACUGGUUGAGAGGAUGAUCAGUCACACUGGAACUGAGACACGGUCCAGACUCCUACGGGAGGCAGCAGCGGGGAAUAUUGCACAAUGGACGAAAGUCUGAUGCAGCAACGCCGCGUGGAGGAUGACACAUUUCGGUGCGUAAACUCCUUUUAUAUGAGAAGAUAAUGACGGUAUUAUAUGAAUAAGCACCGGCUAACUCCGUGCCAGCAGCCGCCGUAA
rnacentral:rRNA from 1 species